rnacentral:rRNA from 1 species
AGAGUUUGAUCAUGGCUCAGAAUCAACGCUGGCGGCGCGCUUAACACAUGCAAGUCGAACGAGAAAGUGGAGCAAUCCAUGAGUAAAGUGGCGUACGGGUGAGUAACACGUGGGUAAUCUGCCUUUUAGUGAGGAAUAACGAUGGGAAACCGUCGCUAAUACCGCAUGAGCCCGAGAGGGGAAAGUCGCAAGACGCUGAAAGAGGAGCCCGCGGCCGAUUAGCUAGUUGGUAGGGUAAAAGCCUACCAAGGCAGAGAUCGGUAGCCGGCCUGAGAGGGCACACGGCCACACUGGCACUGAAACACGGGCCAGACUCCUACGGGAGGCAGCAGUGGGGAAUCUUGCACAAUGGGGGCAACCCUGAUGCAGCGACGCCGCGUGAGCGAUGAAGCCCUUCGGGGUGUAAAGCUCUUUCGGCAGGGAAGAUGAUGACGGUACCUGCAGAAGCAGCUGCGGCUAACUACGUGCCAGCAGCCGCGGUAAUACGUAGGCAGCGAGCGUUGUUCGGAGUUACUGGGCGUAAAGGGUGUGUAGGCGGUUCUUUAAGUUUGGUGUGAAAUCUCCCGGCUUAACCGGGAGGGUGCGCCGAAUACUGAGGGACUAGAGUGUGCGAGAGGAAAGUGGAAUUCCUGGUGUAGCGGUGAAAUGCGUAGAUAUCAGGAGGAACACCGGUGGUGUAGACGGCUUUCUGGACCAUAACUGACGCUGAGACACGAAAGCGUGGGUAGCAAACAGGAUUAGAUACCCUAGUAGUCC